CACGUAGGGCGCAAGCGUUGUCCGGAAUUAUUGGGCGUAAAGAGCGUGUAGGCGGCUUUACAGGUCCGUUGUGAAAACUCGAGGCUCAACCUCGAGACGCCGGUGGAAACCGUAAGGCUAGAGUCCGGAAGAGGAGAGUGGAAUUCCUGGUGUAGCGGUGAAAUGCGCAGAUAUCAGGAGGAACACCCGUGGCGAAAGCGGCUCUCUGGGACGGUACUGACGCUGAGACGCGAAAGCGUGGGGAGCAAACGGG
rnacentral:rRNA from 1 species